GAUUUUUUUUACAAAGGAAGGACCUUCUUGGUUAUCUAUCGAGCGCUCUAGAGGUAGUCCUCACGACUUCUGUAAUUCAGUGGAUACAAUCUGCAUUGGCCUUGUAUGCGACCCUGAAUUUGAAUGCUUCAGAUUACCCGCCGGAUUACUCUUCCAAAGUUUCAGAUGGAGUGCAUGCCGACUUCAUUAUAGUAGGCGCUGGUUCGGCGGGCUGCGUGCUUGUAAACAGACUGACUGAGAUCAGCAACUGGACCGUUAUGCUAGUGGAGGCGGGGGACUAUCCCUCUAUCGAAUCUACAGUACCGGGUUUGUAUUCACUCGUGGACUACUCUUUCGAAGACUGGAACUAUUACACAGUCGACGAUGGAUACACAAGUCAAGCGCACAAAUCAAAGAACAUACACCUCACCAGAG